UACGAAGGGGGCUAGCGUUGCUCGGAAUUACUGGGCGUAAAGCGCGUGUAGGCGGGUCUUUAAGUCAGGGGUGAAAUGCCAAGGCUCAACCUUGGAACUGCCUUUGAUACUGGAGAUCUUGAGUCCGGUAGGGGAUCACGGAAUUCCUGGUGUAGCGGUGAAAUGCGCAGAUAUCAAGGAGGAACACCGGUGGCGAAGGCGGUGAUCUGGGCCGGCACUGACGCUGGAGGAGCGAAAGCGUGGGUAGCAAACAGG
rnacentral:rRNA from 1 species